GGAACUAAUGGGGAUCCAUAAUAAACCCCAGGAAGAGUAGCUGCUGCCUUGGCAGGAACUAAUGGGGAUCCAUAAUAAACCCCAGGAAGAGUAGCUGCUGCCUUGGCAGGAACUAAUGGGGAUCCAUAAUAAACCCCAGGAAGAGUAGCUGCUGCCUUGGCAGGUACUAAUGAGGAUCCAUAAUAAACCCCAGGAAGAGUAGCUGCUGCCUUGGCAGGAACUAAUGGGGAUCCAUAAUAAACCCCAGGAAGAGUAGCUGCUGCCUUGGCAGGUACUAAUGGGGAUCCAUAAUAAACCCCAGGAAGAGUAGCUGCUGCCUUGGCAGGAACUAAUGGGGAUCCAUAAUAAACCCCAGGAAGAGUAGCUGCUGCCUUGGCAGGAACUAAUGGGGAUCCAUAAUAAACCCCAGGAAGAGUAGCUGCUGCCUUGGCAGGAACUAAUGGGGAUCCAUAAUAAACCCCAGGAAGAGUAGCUGCUGCCUUGGCAG
ensembl:lncRNA